rnacentral:rRNA from 1 species
CUCUCCCCUCUCUUCUCUUCCCUUUUUUUUGUUUCCCCCUCUCUUCGUGGGAUCUCCACCUCCUUUCCUCUUUUCCCUUUUUCUUUUUCCUUCUUUUUCUUCUGUGCUUUUGCUGGAGGUUUAGGGGUGCUCUUGAUCGAGUGUCUCUGGAUGCCAGCAGGUUUACUUUGAAAAAAUUAGAGUGCUCAAAGCAGGCUAAAAUGCCUGAAUAUUCGUGCAUGGAAUAAUAGAAUAGGAUGUCGAUCCUAUUUUGUUGGUUUUCGGGACUCGACAUAAUGAUAAAUAGGGACAGUCGGGGGCAUUUGUAUUCAAACGACAGAGGUGAAAUUCUUGGACCGUUUGAAGACAAACUACUGCGAAAGCAUUUGCCAAGAAUGUUUUCA